CCUACGGGUGGCAGCAGUGGGGAAUUUUGGACAAUGGGCGCAAGCCUGAUCCAGCUAUUCCGCGUGUGGGAUGAAGGCCCUCGGGUUGUAAACCACUUUUGUAGAGAACGAAAAGACACCUUUUAAUAAAGGGUGUUGCUGACGGUACUCUAAGAAUAAGCACCGGCUAACUACGUGCCAGCAGCCGCGGUAAUACGUAGGGUGCGAGCGUUAAUCGGAAUUACUGGGCGUAAAGGGUGCGCAGGCGGAGGUGCAAGUCAGCGGUCAAAUUGCGGGGCUCAACCCCGUACUGCCGUUGAAACUGCAUCCCUUGAGUGCGCGAGAAGUAUGCGGAAUGCGUGGUGUAGCGGUGAAAUGCAUAGAUAUCACGCAGAACUCCGAUUGCGAAGGCAGCAUACCGGCGCGCAACUGACGCUCAUGCACGAAAGCGUGGGUAUCGAACAGGAUUAGAUACCCCAGUAGUC
rnacentral:rRNA from 1 species